AUUGAACGCUAGCGGGAUGCCUUACACACGCAAGUCGAACGGCAGCACGGGAGCAAUCCUGGUGGCGAGUGGCGAACGGGUGAGUAAUAUAUCGGAACGUGCCCAGUCGUGGGGGAUAACGCAGCGAAAGCUGUGCUAAUACCGCAUACGAUCUACGGAUGAAAGCGGGGGAUCGCAAGACCUCGCGCGAUUGGAGCGGCCGAUAUCAGAUAGCUAGGUGGAGGGGUAAAGGCCCACCAAGGCGACGAUCUGUAGCUGGUCUGAGAGGACGACCAGCCACACUGGAACUGAGACACGGUCCAGACUCCUACGGGAGGCAGCAGUGGGGAAUUUUGGACAAUGGGCGCAAGCCUGAUCCAGCAAUGCCGCGUGCAGGAUGAAGGCCUUCGGGUUGUAAACUGCUUUUGUACGGAACGAAACGGCUCCUUCUAAUACAAGGGGCUAAUGACGGUACCGUAAGAAUAAGCACCGGCUAACUACGUGCCAGCAGCCGCUGUAACAC
rnacentral:rRNA from 1 species